rnacentral:rRNA from 1 species
AUUGAACGCUGGCGGCAUGCCUUACACAUGCAAGUCGAACGGUAACAGGUCUUCGGAUGCUGACGAGUGGCGAACGGGUGAGUAAUACAUCGGAACGUGCCUAGUAGUGGGGGAUAACUACUCGAAAGAGUGGCUAAUACCGCAUGAGAUCUACGGAUGAAAGCAGGGGAUCGCAAGACCUUGUGCUACUAGAGCGGCCGAUGGCAGAUUAGGUAGUUGGUGGGAUAAAAGCUUACCAAGCCGACGAUCUGUAGCUGGUCUGAGAGGACGAUCGGCAACACUGGGACUGAGACACGGACCAGACUCCUACGGGAGGCAGCAGUGGGGAAUUUUGGACAAUGGGCGCAGGCCUGAUCCAGCAAUGCCGCGUGCAGGAUGAAGGCCUUCGGGUUGUAAACUGCUUUUGUACGGAACGAAAAGCCCCGGGUUAAUACCCUGGGGUCAUGACGGUACCGUAAGAAUAAGCACCGGCUAACUACGUGCCAGCCGCCGCAGUAA